rnacentral:tRNA from 1 species
GCAGGUAUAGCUCCGUGGUAGAGCUUGUGCUUAGUAUGCACGAGGUCCAGGGUUCAAUCCCCAGUACCUCCA